UCAAAAUGUGUUUUAAUUCUGGUUGUUUGCAUUCUCUUCUGCUUCAGGAUCAUCAUGGAAAAGACUAUCAACUUUUUCUCGGAGAUGAGAAGCCUUUUCUUCUAUCAAAAACCCAGAGUGCUCCAGUAAUUGAAUCCAAGUCUUUGGAGCUUCCGGUCCUGACAAAUCAGAUGAAGCAUCCUCUUUUGCAUGUCUUACAGCUUGUUGCAAUGUUCCCAGAGCUUCAGUCAGUGCUGCAGCUUGUUCAGUGGCUAAAGCUUCAGCUUGUUGUCGGGCAGCGGCUGCAGACUGUGUCACUUCUUUUUUCUCAUCAGUUAAUUUCAAUAGCAGUUCCUUUUGAUUGCGAGACUCUUCCGUCAAAUUUUAAAAUCUUCUUUGCAUGAGUUCAAUUCUCGUUCUAAUUCCAGAAUCUUUUUGUCUGCUUCCAUCACCGCGGAUUUUUCUUGGUCACAUUGGGCUUUCGAGAUGGU